rnacentral:rRNA from 1 species
UACGUAGGGUGCGAGCGUUGUCCGGAAUUAUUGGGCGUAAAGGGCUCGUAGGCGGUCUGUUGCGUCGGUAGUGAAAACUCAGGGUUUAACCCUGAGCCUGCUUCCGAUACGGGCAGACUAGAGGUAUGCAGGGGGAGAACGGAAUUCCUGGUGUAGCGGUGAAAUGCGCAGAUAUCAGGAGGAACACCGGUGGCGAAGGCGGUUCUCUGGGCAUUACCUGACGCUGAGGAGCGAAAGUGUGGGGAGCGAACAGG